AAGUCGUAACAAGGUUUCCGUAGGUGAACCUGCGGAAGGAUCAUUAAAAGAUAUGGCAUAUCUCUAGUAGAUUAUACCUAAUCAACCCAUUCUGAGUACCUUACCUGUUGCUUCCAUACAGCGUUUAUUUUAUAUAAACAGUUCUGAUUUAAUUACUUGUAAUUAAAAAGGGAUAUGUAUGGAAGGUAAACUACAAACUCUUGCAUUACCAUAUAUUCAGUCUGAUUAUGUUUAAUAUAAACUAUUAAAACUUUCAACAACGGAUCUCUUGGUUCUC
rnacentral:misc_RNA from 1 species